AGUGAGGAACAAGCAUGCCUGUGCCAGACGAACCCUUCCUUCCUCUUGGGUGACUCUGGAGGGCCCAGGCCCAUUGCUUCCUUCCUGCUUGGUUAUUUCAGGAAAGAGAUCAGUGCUGGAUGCUGUGGGGAAGAGAGUACUGGGCUGACAGUCAGUGGAUGUGGAUUUUGUUUCCCAGUUCCAUCGCUGAUUUGCAGUCAAUACCCAGAGCACCACCACCAGGAGGCCUGGAAGCAACUCACUGUCCCACUUGAUGUGGCCUGUGGACCACCAGAAAUUUCAGAGCGUCACAGAGAUGUGUGGUUCGAUCCUGAGCAGACAUGGAUGGUCACAAAGGUGAAUUCACUUGCUCAAGAUCCAACACACACAAAAUGGAGGUGGUUCAAACCCAGGUGUGUCUGACUGCAGAGCCUGUGUUCUUCCCAGUAGAGAUGUGGAUGCAGCACAAAUGGUAGAAAGGACCUGAGACUUAGUCAGAAGACCUCAGUUCACCCAAGGUAUCUGCUAUGCCCAAGGCCUCUGCUCAGUGCUGAGGAAACAAGCAUGGACAAGAUGUGGCCUCCACCCUGAGGAGCUCCUAAAUCUAGGACAGAGUAAAUCUGUUAGAAAUGUCUUCUCUGCACAUAAUUUAAGCUCUACCAACUGUUAACUUCUUUUCAUUUAUCCAAGUUUUGCCAGGUACCACACCAAUAAAAAAAGACUCAGUCCCUCUUCCUUCAGA